rnacentral:lncRNA from 1 species
UGCUUAUUUCUUGUUGGCUUUAGGGGUGGAGGAGCAAAGGGACUACUCUUCAUUAGUCUUCCCUAAAGGAAUAUAGAAGUUCUAACUGUCUUCUCAAUUGGAAGGGUACAGAAAGUGGUCCCUCUUUCCAAUUCUGUUCACUGAAGCUUUAUGGGGUUUGUGUCAUGAAUAUUAUGAACUUUUCUCUACAUAUUUCUUUUAGGGUAACUGAAGAUGUCAAAUGGCUCACUUCUCAUUGUGGAUCAAAGCUAGUUUUAUCAUCAUGUUGGCAUUUUAUCUUUGUUCUGAUACUGCAUUGUCUGAGUUGCCUGCUGUGUUGGCUGAGCCAAACUGUGACAUAUACAAAGACCCAGCACUUGAUUACACCAGGAAAUUUCCUUCUAUCUGUGGAUCCAAUGGUAAAACCUAUGAUAACUCAUGCAUGUUUUGCAUCACAGAAAGGUAAGGGCACAAUGGUAAAUAUUUUCUCUUUGUAUAGAAAUAACAGUGUCAAUAUACUAGGAAUUACUGAGUUUCUCUCAACCUACAAUCAUAUACACAGUAAACAGCUUUUUUUUUCCACUGAAACUUGA